rnacentral:rRNA from 1 species
UACGUAGGGGGCAAGCGUUGUCCGGAAUCAUUGGGCGUAAAGCGCGCGUAGGCGGCCCGGUAAGUCCGUUGUGAAAGUCAAAGGCUCAACCUUUGAACGCCGAUGGAUACUGCCGGGCUAGAGUCCGGAAGAGGCGAGUGGAAUUCCUGGUGUAGCGGUGGAAUGCGCAGAAAUCAGGAGGAACCCGGGGGGCGAGGCGGAUCUCUGGGCCAUUACUGACGCUGAGGAGCGAAAGCGUGGGGAGCGAACAGG